GUUUGAUCCUGGCUCAGAGCGAACGUUAGCGGCAGGCUUAACACAUGCAAGUCGAGCGAGAAAGGGGCUUCGGCUCCGAGUAAAGCGGCGGACGGGUGCGUAACACGUGGAUAAUCUGCCUCGUGGCGGGGGACAACAGUCCGAAAGGACUGCUAAUACCGCAUGUCAGGUCGGAAACUCCGGUUUCUGACGAAAAAGAGGGCGCCCCGCAAGGGGCUCUCACCACGAGAUGAGUCCGCGUCCCAUCAGCUAAGUUGGCGGUGUAAUAGACCACCAAGGCUUAGACGGGUAGCUGGUCUGAGAGGAUGACCAGCCACACUGGGACUGAGACAGGCCCCAGACUCCUACGGGAGGCAGCAGUGGGGAAUAUUGGACAAUGGGCGAAAGCCUGAUCCAGCCAUGCCGCGUGAGUGAUGAAGG
rnacentral:rRNA from 1 species